rnacentral:rRNA from 1 species
CCUACGGGAGGCAGCAGUGGGGAAUAUUGCGCAAUGGUCGAAAGACUGACGCAGCGACGCCGCGUGUGGGAGGAAGCCCUUCGGGGUGUAAACCACUGUCAGGAGGGAAGAAACCCGCGUAUGUGAAUAGCAUGCGCGAUUGACGGUACCUCCAGAGGAAGCGCCGGCUAACUCCGUGCCAGCAGCCGCGGUAAU